UACAGAGGUCCCGAGCGUUGUUCGGAUUCAUUGGGCGUAAAGCGCGUGUAGGCGGCUCGAUAAGUCUGCUGUUAAAGUCCAGGGCUCAACCCUGGGAUGCCGGUGGAUACUGUCGAGCUCGAGUCCGGAAGAGGAGUGUGGAAUUCCUGGUGUAGCGGUGAAAUGCGCAGAUAUCAGGAGGAACACCAAUGGCGAAGGCAGCACUCUGGGACGUGACUGACGCUGAGACGCGAAAGCGUGGGGAGCGAACAGG
rnacentral:rRNA from 1 species